UAAAUAGAAGUAUAUUUAAUAUGCAAUCAGCUUCGAACUGAAAAAAGGUGUAAGCCCUAUUUAA
rnacentral:tRNA from 1 species